AUAAACAUUAUAUUUAAAGAAGAAAAAGGUUGGAAGAAGGAAGAAAGGAAAGAUGGUAGGUAGUCCUUGAUCCAAAGGUGGAAGAAGGAGUGUAAAAGAAGAAAGAAAGAAACAUAGGAAUAUGUGACUGCCAUUAUUGAGAUCUAUGGACGAGCCGGACAUCGGACUUCACAGAUAAUAAGAAUUUCAUAUAUGGGGUCAAAAUAAGCGGAGACAUCAAGGACGCCAGUUGCUAUGGCAUUUUUAAGGCAAAAAGUAGCUUGAUCACGAUUCAAGUUCUGCUCAAGGGGGGAGCAGCAGGAAGGAACAUCGAAUGGAGCUCACCAUUGAGAAUGAUAGCAGAUUCAGGAAGACGGGUAACGAAGUU
rnacentral:sRNA from 1 species